UACGGAGGGUGCGAGCGUUGUCCGGAAUCACUGGGCGUAAAGGGCGCGUAGGCGGCUCGGUAAGUAGGGGGUGAAAUCCUGCGGCUUAACCGCAGGGCUGCCUUCUAAACUGUCGAGCUCGAGCACGGUAGAGGCAGAUGGAAUUCCUGGUGUAGCGGUGAAAUGCGCAGAUAUCAGGAGGAACACCAGUGGCGAAGGCGAGUCUCUGGGCCGAUACUGACGCUGAGGAGCGAAAGCGUGGGGAGCGAACAGG
rnacentral:rRNA from 1 species